AUUGAACGCUGGCGGCAGGCCUCACACAUGCAAGUCGAACGAGUGGCGGACGGGUGAGUAAUGUCUGGGAAACUGCCUGAUGGAGGGGGAUAACUACUGUAAACGGUAGCUAAUACCGCAUACCAUCAGAUGGACCCAGAUGGGAUUAGCUUGUUGGUGUGGUAACGGCUCACCAAGGCGACGAUCACUAGCUGGGCUGAGAGGAGGACCAGCCACACUGGGACUGAGACACGGCCCAGACUCCUACGGGAGGCAGCAGUGGGGAAUAUUGCACAAUGGGCGCAAGCCUGAUGCAGCAAUGCCGCGUGUAUGAAGAAGGCCUUCGGGUGGUAAAGUACUUUCAGCGGGGAGGCGUUACCCGCAGAAGAAGCACCGGCUAACUCCGUGCCAGCCGCCGCGGUAAUAC
rnacentral:rRNA from 1 species